rnacentral:rRNA from 1 species
GAUGAACGCUGGCGGCGUGCCUAAUACAUGCAAGUCGAGCGAACAGACGAGGAGCUUGCUCCUUCGACGUUAGCGGCGGACGGGUGAGUAACACGUAGGUAACCUACCUAUAAGACUGGGAUAACUUCGGGAAACCGGAGCUAAUACCGGAUAAUAUUUCGAACCGCAUGGUUCGAUAGUGAAAGAUGGCUUUGCUAUCACUUAUAGAUGGACCUGCGCCGUACUAGCUAGUUGGUAAGGUAACGGCUUACCAAGGCAACGAUACGUAGCCGACCUGAGAGGGUGAUCGGCCACACUGGAACUGAGACACGGUCCAGACUCCUACGGGAGGCAGCAGUAGGGAAUCUUCCGCAAUGGGCGAAAGCCUGACGGAGCAACGCCGCGUGAGUGAUGAAGGUCUUCGGAUCGUAAAACUCUGUUAUUAGGGAAGAACAAACGUGUAAGUAACUGUGCACGUCUUGACGGUACCUAAUCAGAAAGCCACGGCUAACUACGUG